rnacentral:RNase_MRP_RNA from 16 species
CAAGCACAGUUAUGCAGCCAGCGGGGAGACAACCCGCUCACUCAACGGGGCUUA